rnacentral:tRNA from 1 species
GUCUCAGUAGCGUAGGGGUUAACGCACGGUCCCGGUUAGGCGCGAGACGCGGGUUCGAAUCCCGUAUGAGAUG